rnacentral:rRNA from 1 species
AGUGAACGCUGGCGGUAGGCCUAACACAUGCAAGUCGAACGGCAGCACAGUAAGAGCUUGCUCUUACGGGUGGCGAGUGGCGGACGGGUGAGGAAUACAUCGGAAUCUACUUUUUCGUGGGGGAUAACGUAGGGAAACUUACGCUAAUACCGCAUACGACCUACGGGUGAAAGCAGGGGAUCUUCAGACCUUGCGCGAUUGAAUGAGCCGAUGUCGGAUUAGCUAGUUGGCGGGGUAAAGGCCCACCAAGGCGACGAUCCGUAGCUGGUCUGAGAGGAUGAUCAGCCACACUGGAACUGAGACACGGUCCAGACUCCUACGGGAGGCAGCAGUGGGGAAUAUUGGACAAUGGGCGCAAGCCUGAUCCAGCCAUACCGCGUGGGUGAAGAAGGCCUUCGGGUUGUAAAGCCCUUUUGUUGGGAAAGAAAAGCAGCAGGUUAAUACCCCGCUGUCCUGACGGUACCCAAAGAAUAAGCACCGGCUAACUUCGUG